rnacentral:lncRNA from 1 species
UUUUAAUUCUUAAAAUUAAAAUUUAUAGAUUUUCUACGAUUUUUUAUUUAUUUUUUCUACAGAUUUAAAAUAUGUAGAUAUCAUGCGAAUUUUUCUUCAAUUUUUUUUAUUGAUUUUCACAUUAAAAAUUAAAAUUAAAAUGAUUCUAGGUUUUUUUAUAAAAAUAACCCACUUUUUCAAGGAAAUUCCCAAAAUACCCCUGAUUUCAAAAAAAAUCCCAAUAUACCCCACUUUUAGGAGGAGUCGCCAA